GACAGAGGCAGGCAGAUCUCUGA
rnacentral:piRNA from 1 species